rnacentral:lncRNA from 1 species
AACGCGAUGGUUCAUAUUCUUCCUAACAAUCUGAAAAGCAACCAGUUACAGAUGCAUCACUUACGAUCUACCUUUAAUGCGAUCUUCACUCCUGCAAGGCGGUGUAUCUGCGUGUAUAAAAAGGUUAGCCUCUCUCCUCUGAAAACCAUCUUCUCAAUCCGGUUUUGAUUUAUGUUUGUUUCCAAGAACAAAAUAUACACAGAGCCUUACCUGGAAUGUUUAACACAAAUCCAACUCGCUUCUCUAUAUCUUUUCCCUCCUUGCUUGGUUCUUUAUCAAGAGCUGAUGCGCAACGCCUAUCACUGCCCUUGAGUCUCCAACAUUAGCAACCACAAGCUUUUGACCAUCGAUUACAAUCUCCGUUUCAGAUUGACCCGCCUUUAUCAAGCUUAAGAGACUGCUGACACUGCAUCUGUUGAUGCUAAAGGAGAGUCAUCAAUAUAGAGAAGCUAAAGGAGUGUCAUCCAUUGGAUGGCAAAGUGAAAACCAUGCGUGAUGUACUGAUGUUCUU